AUGCACUCAAAAGACACAGAAAAAGAGCCCCAGCAGCGUGGGGAGCAGGGAGCACUGUGGUCCCUGCUGCCUUCCACCUUGCUGCCUCCUUUGCUACUACCUCUGUGGGGCCCUCCGUGUCUGUGCUGUUUGGCCUGCGGCUCCCAGAGGAGCUGCAGAGUGUGGAGCCUAGUGCGGACGGUGCGGGAGCAAGCAUGGUGGGCAAGGCCUCAGGAUGAAUGGGGGCUUGAGUGGGGCGGGCGGCCCUGUCAAUCCUGCUUAGCUGCCUCCGGGAGACCCACAGCUCAUCCUUCUCAUAGUGGAGCAGCUUGGCCUAUUUGACAGCUUCCACCUGGACUGCCUGGCCGACGUGGACACUAAGCCAGCUUACCAGAACCUGAUGCAGAAGGUGGAUAAUUUUGUGUCAGCACACCUGGACAAACAGGAAUGGAAUCCUGCAAUGAACAAGAACCAGUUGCAAAAUGGGCUAAGGCAGAGCAUGGUUCAGUCAGGCAUGUUGGAAGCAGGAGUGGGCAGGAUCAUUUCUCAAGUGGUAGACCCCACUAAACCACAUCUUCAGGCCACAGAUGGAGUGAGCAAUCCAUGAAUUUCUGCCUGCCCAGAAAAAAGAAGCAAUGCCAGCUCCCCCUCCAGAACCUAAAAGCCAGGAUCCUCCAGCACCUUCCCAAGAUGCUUCCUAAGAAUGUGCUUGAUACCUUUGGAAAGCUCUAUUUAACAAAGAAAUGGAUUCCUAUUUCAUAGGAAUAUAACUUUAGUCUGCCAUGUCAUUACUGAUGUCAGGAUUUUGGCC